GAUGAACGCUGGCGGCGUGCCUAAUACAUGCAAGUCGAGCGAACAGACGAGGAGCUUGCUCCUCUGACGUUAGCGGCGGACGGGUGAGUAACACGUGGAUAACCUACCUAUAAGACUGGGAUAACUUCGGGAAACCGGAGCUAAUACCGGAUAAUAUAUUGAACCGCAUGGUUCAAUAGUUAAAGACGGUUUUGCUGUCACUUAUAGAUGGAUCCGCGCCGCAUUAGCUAGUUGGUAAGGUAACGGCUUACCAAGGCAACGAUGCGUAGCCGACCUGAGAGGGUGAUCGGCCACACUGGAACUGAGACACGGUCCAGACUCCUACGGGAGGCAGCAGUAGGGAAUCUUCCGCAAUGGGCGAAAGCUUGACGGAGCAAUGCCGCGUGAGUGAUGAAGGUCUUCGGAUCGUAAAACCCUGUUAUUAGGGAAGAACAAAUGUGUAAGUAACUAUGCACGUCUUGACGGUACCUAAUCAGAAAGCCACGGCUAACUACGUG
rnacentral:rRNA from 1 species